rnacentral:rRNA from 1 species
AUGAUGUAUUGCAAACAUCGUAUUUGGACCUCGGAUAGGCGAGCGAGGCAUGAGUUGCAGGAUCGGCCUUCAGCAUGCUAUACGUGCCUCCAAGAGGAGGAUAAUGCGGAGCACAUCUUGGUCCAGUGCGUGUACACUAGGGAAGUGUGGCAUACCAUGUUUGAUGCUUUGAGCCUGCAGGCAAACAUCCCAGACGCGCAGGAUCACCUCUUGGGUUGGUGGUUGACACAGAGAGCUAGCCGGAGUAGGGGUUCCAAGAGGGGUUUUGAUACGGUUGUUAUUGCGGUCAUUUGGGCAUUAUGGAAGCAACGCAAUGCGAGAGUCUUCCACAGAACCAACCAGCAGUUGAACGCGACAGAUCUGGCUAACGCCAUUAUUGGUGAGUUGAAGGAGUGGAAGGCGGCAGGCUUAGGGGGAGGAGGUUUCUGUGGUUUCUAUGAGAGAGUAGGUUUAGGCUGA